rnacentral:lncRNA from 1 species
UGACUGACUAACCGAUCAGGAAGUGAGUAUUAAGAGUUCCAUUUCCAAUCUUGUCAAAAGAAGGAAAAUUCAGGAACUCAUCAUCACGCUCAAAAGUACUUUGGUCUAUAGAGGUGUCUUCGAUGAUAGAAAUUUUGUAAGUAUGGUCUGUGGGACGGUACUGUCCUCUUGCGUGAGACACUGUAAAUGUGUCUAUGAGUCGCCAUUCACCAAGCCGUAUUUUACUCUCUGUUUUUUUUAUGAGAGU